CUGGCGAGUUCAAGUUUGGAUUUUCCGCCAUCUUCCUUUCUCGCAUGAAAACGCCACGGAAGAAAAGAGAAAGAAAUCGGCCUGAAAUGAUUGCACAUAAUCAAAAGCAGCAACUUUUAAUCGAAUUUCACUCGUAGCUCCAAGAAGACAGCAACUUCAAUCUGCGACCUUUUGUCAGCCUUCUGAAGAAUUUCACUCCAAGCUCAAGAAGUCAGCAUCCUCCCUCUGCAACCUUUUAUUUUGUCAGCCCUUUUCUAAAGACUCUUGAGCAUGGCUGGAAAGAAGUCUGCAAAGCUGUUGGUUUUUCUGAGUCAAGACAACAAAAGAAAAUUGUUGCUGCCAAAUGGGAUUCCAGAGUCUGUGGAGGAGCUUGUUGAUGAUGUGAGGAGAGCUUGUGGAUUGAGUGGGAACUUCAGGAUCCAGUACCAGGACAAAGACUUUGGUGAUACAUUUGUAAAUUUAACAUCUACUGGAGGACUUCAGGAUCUUGGCAUCAUCAAAGUAAUCCCUUUGCCUGAUGAAGACACAGCUCCUGCACAGACAGCUGUUCAUGUCAGCCUCAGUAGUGAUGACGCCUUUUCCACCUCUGGUGAAACUGAUGACACGGUGAUCCUCUCCACAACCUCUUCUGGUCCUUCUUCAAGGACCAAGCAGUGGCCCAAAGAGUU